AUAACGGAGCCACAACCAACCGGCGUUCACUUUUGGCUAGUCAGCCUUCAGUCAGCGACACGGUGGCGUGCAGCAGUUGCUAUUAGCAGUUGGCGAGAAAGUAGCGUGGACCUGCGUGGGGCGAUGCCAAGCGUUUUGGCCGGGAUCCAGAACGCCUGAUGCGUGAGAAGGCAGGCGCGGCAUUCAGCUUGGGAAAGGACUGCUCGCGCUGCUCCUGCGCUCGCCGUCCCCUGUUGGCGUGGAGCGAACUAGCUGUGGAAUGCUGACGUCACCGACCGCUCAACGGCUGGUUACGUCAUCCGAUAGCAAGCGCAGCAAUCAAUAACGGAGCCACAACCAAUCGGCGUCCACUUUUGGCUAGUC
rnacentral:lncRNA from 1 species